UACGAAGGGGGCUAGCGUUGCUCGGAAUCACUGGGCGUAAAGCGCACGUAGGCGGCUUUUUAAGUCAGGGGUGAAAUCCUGGAGCUCAACUCCAGAACUGCCUUUGAUACUGGGAAGCUUGAGUCCGGGAGAGGUGAGUGGAACUCCGAGUGUAGAGGUGAAAUUCGUAGAUAUUCGGAAGAACACCAGUGGCGAAGGCGGCUCACUGGCCCGGUACUGACGCUGAGGUGCGAAAGCGUGGGGGGCAAACAGG
rnacentral:rRNA from 1 species